UACGUAGGGUGCGAGCGUUGUCCGGAAUUACUGGGCGUAAAGAGCUCGUAGGUGGUUUGUCGCGUUGUUCGUGAAAACUCACAGCUCAACUGUGGGCGUGCGGGCGAUACGGGCAGACUAGAGUACUGCAGGGGAGACUGGAAUUCCUGGUGUAGCGGUGGAAUGCGCAGAUAUCAGGAGGAACACCGGUGGCGAAGGCGGGUCUCUGGGCAGUAACUGACGCUGGAGGAGCGAAAAGCGUCGGGGAGCGAACAGG
rnacentral:rRNA from 1 species